UGAACGCUGGCGGCAGGCCUAACACAUGCAAGUCGAGCGGAUGAAGGGAGCUUGCUCCUGGAUUCAGCGGCGGACGGGUGAGUAAUGCCUAGGAAUCUGCCUGGUAGUGGGGGAUAACGUCCGGAAACGGGCGCUAAUACCGCAUACGUCCUGAGGGAGAAAGUGGGGGAUCUUCGGACCUCACGCUAUCAGAUGAGCCUAGGUCGGAUUAGCUAGUUGGUGGGGUAAAGGCCUACCAAGGCGACGAUCCGUAACUGGUCUGAGAGGAUGAUCAGUCACACUGGAACUGAGACACGGUCCAGACUCCUACGGGAGGCAGCAGUGGGGAAUAUUGGACAAUGGGCGAAAGCCUGAUCCAGCCAUGCCGCGUGUGUGAAGAAGGUCUUCGGAUUGUAAAGCACUUUAAGUUGGGAGGAAGGGCAGUAAGUUAAUACCUUGCUGUUUUGACGUUACCAACAGAAUAAGCACCGGCUAACUUCGUGCCAGCAGCCGCGGUAAUACGAAGGGUGCAAGCGUUAAUCGGAAUUACUGGGCGUAAAGCGCGCGUAGGUGGUUCAGCAAGUUGGAUGUGAAAUCCCCGGGCUCAACCUGGGAACUGCAUCCAAAACUACUGAGCUAGAGUACGGUAGAGGGUGGUGGAAUUUCCUGUGUAGCGGUGAAAUGCGUAGAUAUAGGAAGGAACACCAGUGGCGAAGGCGACCACCUGGACUGAUACUGACACUGAGGUGCGAAAGCGUGGGGAGCAAGCAGGAUUAGAUACCCUGGUAGUCCACGCCGUAAACGAUGUCGACUAGCCGUUGGGAUCCUUGAGAUCUUAGUGGCGCAGCUAACGCGAUAAGUCGACCGCCUGGGGAGUACGGCCGCAAGGUUAAAACUCAAAUGAAUUGACGGGGGCCCGCACAAGCGGUGGAGCAUGUGGUUUAAUUCGAAGCAACGCGAAGAACCUUACCUGGCCUUGACAUGCUGAGAACUUUCCAGAGAUGGAUUGGUGCCUUCGGGAACUCAGACACAGGUGCUGCAUGGCUGUCGUCAGCUCGUGUCGUGAGAUGUUGGGUUAAGUCCCGUAACGAGCGCAACCCUUGUCCUUAGUUACCAGCACCUCGGGUGGGCACUCUAAGGAGACUGCCGGUGACAAACCGGAGGAAGGUGGGGAUGACGUCAAGUCAUCAUGGCCCUUACGGCCAGGGCUACACACGUGCUACAAUGGUCGGUACAAAGGGUUGCCAAGCCGCGAGGUGGAGCUAAUCCCAUAAAACCGAUCGUAGUCCGGAUCGCAGUCUGCAACUCGACUGCGUGAAGUCGGAAUCGCUAGUAAUCGUGAAUCAGAAUGUCACGGUGAAUACGUUCCCGGGCCUUGUACACACCGCCCGUCACACCAUGGGAGUGGGUUGCUCCAGAAGUAGCUAGUCUAACCGCAAGGGGGACGGUUACCACGGAGUGAUUCAUGACUGGGGUGA
rnacentral:rRNA from 1 species